GGGCGGUCACUGUGAAAGUCAUAGUUAAAGGGGCAGUCACUGUGAAAGUCACAGUUAAAGGGGUGGCCACUGUGAAAGUCACAGGAAAAGGGGUGGUCACUGUGAAAGUCACAGUUAAAAGGGCGGUGAAAGUGAAAGUCACGGUUAAAGGUCACAGUUAAAGGGGCAGUC